UUCUUGACAUAGGAUAUAUGGGCUCAAGUAGUCAAGGACAGUUUACAGAGUAACUGAGAGGAGACAUGCAAAGCUGCUCUGAAAGACCAUCAGGUCUGAACUCAUGGAAGUGAUAACACUAAACAGUGCAAUGAACAAUUUCUUUAUUUAUGUACUAUUAAAAGAACUGUAAAUGCAAUGUAAAGACACAGCCACACAUAUCCCACAGAUAUUCUACUUGUGUUCUUCUCUUAAGUACACCACCCACCUUAACUCUUUCUUGUCAGGAGUAUAUAAAAAAGAAAGAAAACAAAGCUCGCCCUCCAGGAAGAAAAGGAUUUUCCUCUGUAUAUAAUUUCUUUUGUGCAUUGCUAUGCAAGCUCACUCGUUUUAGCUCUGUUCAUAUUAUUGUCUGUUCUUAUUGGUCUGUUGUACUAUAUGUGAAUUAAUAGGCUGUGGUGCCAUAUAUUAACUUUUAAUUGUGUAACUUUUAUGUUUAAAUUUUGCACUGCAAUUUUAUUUGGUGAUAAGCACAAAUCUCUACUCCUCGUGACAUGAAGAAAAAGACUGAAUGUGAAGGGAGUUUCUGUACUGUAAGCUAGGUUGGAUAAUGCUGGUUGUAACCAAUGACGUUAGGGGGGUUUCAGUUGGGGUGUAGAAAUAGGAAGAUGCAAAGUAACAGUGAUGUUGGCUAAGUCUUCUUUGAACAUCAGGGACUGAGUCAAUAAUAAAAAAAAAAAGAAAAGCAGUUACGUGGCUUUUACUAUUGAUAAGAACAGGGGUCAAAAGAAGGAAGCUGAAGUCCUAAAACUGAAUAGGCAUUAAAAUAUACAGGUAGCAAUGAUGUACUUAACUUGCUUUUUAAAAAAAGGAAAUUAAAGUUAUGUUUAGAAACAACUUUACCUGUCAUUGUAAUUGACCUGUCUCAGAAUUACAACAAGCAAAAUGAAAUUAGUGUGUUUCACAAGAGCUGUAUUUGUAUUACAGUUUUUUAAAAAAGCAUUGUCUGAAUUACCAUAACUAAUCUCUCCAACUCAUUAAGUCAGAAUAUAAUAUGAAGUUCCCCAAGGAAACAAAAUGAACUCUAGAAUAUCUAGCAAAUAGUUAAAGAGGCAGUUUAUUAUUAGGACAUAUUUGGGCUGCUUCCAAAUACAAAAACUCUUAUUGCAAUAUCUUGUUUCAUCUUUCUAAUACAUGUACAGUACAUGCUAGAGGAUAGAGCUGCAUCACUUAAAUUCAUGACUUUUUAAAAAUAAUGCAGUCUAUUUGCAACUUUGUGUUUCAUUUGAUUAAGAAGUGAAGUUUAUGCCACCAAAUGUAUAGCCAAAUUGUAAGUGCUUAAAAAGCAGUGUUCAGAGUAUGUUCAGUUCACAGUAAGUAGAUUUAUUGGAAUAAAUCUUUUAUGGUUCAUUCUCAGAAAUUGGCUACCAACUAAAAAAUCUUUGACCCAUUUUGAAUGAGUAAGUCGAAAAGAAUAAUUUUAAAGAAGAACAAUGCAUGUUUAUACACUUUUUAAAUAAAACCAAACCUCAUAAGUGGACAUUAAUAACAG
rnacentral:lncRNA from 1 species